CUCCCUUCUUGCUGGCUGGAAUGUGUAUGUGAUGAGUGAAGUUUGAACAUCCAUAUUGCACUACAAGAUGAAGACCGCAUGCUAAAAAUGGUGGAGCAGCAAGACGGAAGUCUCCUGUAUCCCUGAUGAUUUUGUGAAGCCACCACUCCACCCUUGCACUGCCUAGCUCUGGAUUUAUUUUAUAGACAGGGUCUCAUCGGGCCUCCCAGCUGAAGUACAGUGGCACAAUCAUAGCUCACUGCAGCCUUGACCUCCUGGGCUCCAGUGAUCUUCCCACCUCAGUCUCCAAAGUAGCUGGGGCUACAGGUGUGCACCACCA
rnacentral:lncRNA from 1 species